AAAACAAAAGUAACUAUUACAUUUGGCUUCGGCCCAAACUUUGGAAACCCCUUGUUUUAC
rnacentral:tRNA from 1 species